rnacentral:lncRNA from 1 species
UAUCAUCAAUAAAUCAAACAAUAACUGUCACUCUUUUUACCAGUCUGCUGGUAUCCAUGGGGGUUCAUAGGGAUGUCCCCACUGCACGUGAACCCUUUCAUUUAACAUUCUCAAUUACAGGCCGUCCCCAUACCCCGUCCGGUAUGAGUGUCAAUUUACAAAAUAUCAAUACCUCGUUCGUUCUGAGGGUGAAGCGUGUUGUCUCCAUACCCCAUCUAGUAUGAGCGUCAAAUUAUCAAGUCUCCCUACCCCGUCCGGUAUGAGACAACGUUCACGGUGGGGUUCCCUAUGUACCAUGUCCGUCCACCAUCUCCCAGGAUAUCCAGUAAGGCUGUCGUUUCAUCUACUCAUUUCAUCACACAAUUUUUACCGUUUAACCUUUGUUUUUUUCAAUUUAACAGUAAACACAUAGAA